AGAGUUUGAUCCUGGCUCAGAACGAACGUUAGCGGCGCGCUUAACACAUGCAAGUCGCACGACAGGGCUUCGGCCACGGUACCAAGGCGCACGGGUGAGUAACACGUGGGUAAUCUUCCGUUUGGCGGGGGAUAACCUUCCGCCAGGAGGGCUAAUACCGCAUAAGACCACGACUCCGCCAGGAGACGCGGUUCCGGCAGGCCUCUCUCCGUAAGCUUGCUCCGCAGGAUGAGCCAGCGGCCAAUCAGCUAGUUGGUAGGGUAACGGCCUACCAAGGCCAAGACGGGUAGCUGGUCUGAGAGGAUGAUCAGCCACACUGGAACUGAGACACGGUCCGGACUCCUACGGGAGGCAGCCAAGGGGAAUCUUGCGCAAUGGACGCCAAACUGACGCAGCGACGCCGCGUGGGUGAUGAAGGCCUUCGGGUUGUCCGGCCAUGUGGGGAGGGACGAAUAAGUAGAAGCUAACACCUUCUAUGAUGACGGUACCUCCUUAGCAAGCACCGGCUAACUCUGUGCCAGCAGCCGCGGUAAGACAGAGGGUGCCAACGUUGUUCGGAAUUACUGGGCGUCCGGCGUGUGUAGGCGGCUACGUAAGUCGGAUGUGCCAGCCAUGGGCUCAACCAAGGAAGUGCACUCGAUACUGCGUAGCUUGAGUCUCGGAGAGGUUGGUGGAAUUCUCGGUGUAGAGGUGCCAUUCGUAGAUAUCGAGAGGAACACCGGUGGCGAAGGCGGCCAACUGGACGAAGACUGACGCUGAGACACGCCAGCGUGGGGAGCCAACAGGAUUAGAUACCAUGGUAGUCCGCGCCGUAACGAUGGGUGCUAGUGUCACGGGCAUUGACUCCGUGGUGCCGUAGCCAACGCAUU
rnacentral:rRNA from 1 species